rnacentral:rRNA from 1 species
GACGAACGCUGGCGGCGUGCUUAACACAUGCAAGUCGAGCGGAAAGGCCCUUCGUGGUACUCGACCGGCGAACGGGUGAGUGACACGUGAGUAACCUUCCCCAGAAUUUGGGAUAACCCUCGGAAAAGAGGGCUAAUACCGGAUACGACACAGCUUCGCCGGGGGUCGGUGUGGACAGGUUUUCGGUUUGGGAUGGGCUCGCGCCGUAUCAGCAUGCUGGUGUGGUGAUGGAGUUCCAAGGCGACGACGCGUCGCCGACCUGAGAGGGCGAGAGGCCAAGCUGGGCCUGGGAUGAGGCCCAGACUCCACCGGUACGCAGCGGUGGAGAAUAGUGCACUAGGGGCUGAAGGCAGAUCCAGCGUCGCCGCGUGGGGGAAGAGGGCAAUCGGGUUGUAAUGCACUUUCAGCAGAGAUGAGGCGUAAGUGACGGUACCUGCAGAAGAAGCGCCGGCUAACUACGUG